rnacentral:rRNA from 1 species
AACGAACGCUGGCGGCAGGCUUAACACAUGCAAGUCGAACGGUUGCAGCAAUGCAGCAGUGGCAGACGGGUGAGUAACACGUGGGAACCUUCCUAGGGGUACGGAACAACUCAGGGAAACUUGAGCUAAUACCGUAUACGUCCGUGAGGAGAAAGAUUUAUCGCCCUUAGACGGGCCCGCGUCGGAUUAGCUAGUUGGUGGGGUAACGGCCUACCAAGGCGACGAUCCGUAGCUGAUCUUAGAGGAUGAUCAGCCACACUGGGACUGAGACACGGCCCAGACUCCUACGGGAGGCAGCAGUGGGGAAUCUUGGACAAUGGGCGCAAGCCUGAUCCAGCCAUGCCGCGUGAGUGAAGAAGGUCUUCGGAUUGUAAAGCUCUUUUGCCAGGGACGAUAAUGACGGUACCUGGAGAAUAAGCCCCGGCAAACUUCGUGCCAGCCGCCGCUGUAA